CCUCUUUUCAGAAAGCAGUUGCCAAUUGAGGCACACAGAAUGAAACCUAUUUAGAACAGAUGUUAGGCUUUUUUUUUUCUUUUUUUGGGGAAGGAAAAAGUCACGUGAAAUGAGCAGAUGUUCAGAGUGUAGUGAGACUCACACAGUGCAUUGCAUCGCAGUGCACGGACGGAGGGAACCCGCAUGACACGCCGAACUGGAGCCGAACCGAGCCCGACAUCACGCUUAUCAGCCAUUCAAUGGAUUUUUAUCUGAAUGAUCGCGUGGGCUUUGGGAAGUGGACGUGGGCUCAUCUGCAUGUGGGAGAAAAAAAAAAAGGGUCCGGUGGAAACCUGCUCGACCUCGGACGCGUAUGAUGCGUGCCACCCAGGCUGCAGACAAGACACAAAUCAGUAUGUUUAGGAGGAGUACACAAUGAUGUCACGGACAGGAAAUGGCUGGGAAAAGGCUUGGCACCUCCUGGAAUUGGCUACAUCCCCAUUGGCUCAGUGGAAAAGCUGGAAUAAUAAACAGGCAAUCAGAAGGCGGCGUGAGCGUACACAAAGGCCGUGCAAAACUUUGCAGAUGAUAAAAUCAGAUUUUGGGGGCUCAAAGGCGAUGAUUAUUUGUGGUCGUCGGUUGCCCAUAAAUAGUGGGCCCCUCUCGGAAGUAUAAACACCAGAUCAAACCAUUUCAAAUGUUCUUGUUUAUGUUCAAUCAAGAUGUUGUUUAUAUAAAAUAUAUGUUUAUAGAUCUAUAUACACACAUCGAAUAGAUGUGAAUUAUAUUUAUAUAGAGUGGAAUCUCUUCGGGGGAAAUAAUGAGUUGUGGGACAGGUCGACCGCCACUGAUUUCAAGACGUAUUUUCCCAUAGGAAAUGAUCAUUGUAAAACUUAUAAACCAUCAAUUAAGGGUUUUAUUUUAUUUUUUAAAUAAACUAUUGAGCAUUCUGUACUGUUAGAUGUGGGUAAAAAGAUGUUAACUACUGGAAAUCAAAAUAAACAUGCCUUGGAUUCUACUAAAAAAAAACGUACUAAAAAUAUUUUGUGGGAUUAAAUAGAAAUAUGCGGUAGGAUAUAUUAAGCAUGUUAAAAAAGCAAAAGAAAAAGCAAAAUAACUUCAGCCUCUAACGCUCACUGAUCUAAAUAAAUGCUGCAAAAAAGAAACAAGUCCAGAAAACAAAGCAACACACACGCAGAGUUAACCCAGCUCAAUAUCUUAAUACCUCACACUUUGGAAUCUCCACUCACUGGCCACAUCAUUAGGAACCCUGGCGCAAUUUAUUCAACAAUUUUUAUUGUUGUACUUUGCAAUGUUGUAGCACUACAUAGCAUUACGCAAAUAAAAUUGCUUGCCUCCGUCUCAAAACUUUCCUUUGCCAUCAAUAUACGCUUCCAGCAUGUGAUGAAACGUGCCCGUGUGAUGCAACUCCGAUAAAUAAAUCUGUUGUUAUAACUGAUAGCAGAGACCUUGAUUUAACUUUGAUAAGAGUUUUGGGUCUGGCUCUCGAUUGUUUAAGUGCAUUAGAGAGACCUGAUCCAUCAUACAAGCGCCGUGCACAUCCUCUUGAGAGCAAAUGCAUUCAGAAGACAAUUUGUCCUUUUAUUGCAGUCGAGAGAGAAAGCCGCAUUGCCAGAGGGGAUUACAGACACAGCCAAUUCCUGAUCCCGUCCCUGAAGGCGCUUGACUCCCCGGGUAUUAAUCCCAUGUGCCUUCAUUAACCUGGUGGCCCACCAAUAGCGGGGCUCACACUGAUAAUUAACGUGUCAUUACCUCCACUUACAAAGAUCCCCCUGUUGCUGCGACACAGUUUCAAACACUCUUAUCCCGUUAAGUGGAUUCCAGGAAGGCGGGAUUCUUUUGUGGAAGCGAGGCAAGUCAAAUUGACCAUCAACACCCUCUUCUUGAGCAGACGCUCGGCGCUUAUGUCAAUAAAUUGGAGAGAGAGAUACACUACAUCUGGGGCGUCAUGGCGACACACCAUCCCUCUGAUAAAGGAACCAUUUGGAUGUCAAGAAGAAGUCAUAUGAGAAUUUAGUUCAUGUAAAAAAAAAAAAAAAAAGGAACGCUACACAUUG